GCAUGACGUCACAUCACAGGUACGCCUCUAGACAUCACAGGUACGCCUCUAGACAUCACAGGUACGCCUCUAGACAUGACGUCACAUCACAGGUACGCCUCUAGACAUCACAGGUACGCCUCUAGGCAUGACGUCACAUCACAGGUACGCCUCUAGACAUGACGUCACAUCACAGGUACGCCUCUAGACAUCACAGGUACGCCUCUAGGCAUGACGUCACAUCACAGGUGCGUCACAUCACAGGUACGCCUCUAGGCAUGACGUCACAUCACAGGUACGCCUCUAGACAUGACGUCACAUCACAGGUACGCCUCUAGACAUCACAGGUACGCCUCUAGGCAUGACGUCACAUCACAGGUACGUCACAUCACAGGUACGCCUCUAGGCAUGACGUCACAUCACAGGUACGCCUCUAGACAUCACAGGUACGCCUCUAGGCAUGACGUCACAUCACAGGUACGUCACAUCACAGGUACGCCUCUAGGCAUGACGUCACAUCACAGGUACGCCUCUAGACAUCACAGGUACGCCUCUAGGCAUGACGUCACAUCACAGGUACGUCACAUCACAGGUACGCCUCUAGACAUCACAGGUACGCCUCUAGACAUGACGUCACAUCACAGGUACGCCUCUAGGCAUCACAGGUACGCCUCUAGACAUGACGUCACAUCACAGGUACGCCUCUAGACAUGACGUCACAUCACAGGUACGUCACAUCACAGGUACGCCUCUAGGCAUGACGUCACAUCACAGGUACGCCUCUAGACAUCACAGGUACGCCUCUAGACAUCACAGGUACGCCUCUAGACAUGACGUCACAUCACAGGUACGCCUCUAGACAUGACGUCACAUCACAGGUACGCCUCUAGACAUCACAGGUACGCCUCUAGGCAUGACGUCACAUCACAGGUACGCCUCUAGACAUGACGUCACAUCACAGGUACGCCUCUAGACAUCACAGGUACGCCUCUAGACAUGACGUCACAUCACAGGUACGCCUCUAGACAUGACGUCACAUCACAGGUACG